rnacentral:rRNA from 1 species
UAGCGUAGGGGGCAAGCGUUGUCCGGAAUCAUUGGGCGUAAAGCGCGUGUAGGCGGCUGAGUAAGUCUGCUCUGAAAGCCCGGGGCUCAACCCCGGGAGGCGGGUGGAUACUGCUCAGCUCGAGUCCGGAAGAGGAGUGUGGAAUUCCUGGUGUAGCGGUGAAAUGCGCAGAUAUCAGGAGGAACACCAAUGGCGAAGGCAGCACUCUGGGACGGUACUGACGCUGAGACGCGAAAGCCAGGGGAGCAAACGGG